rnacentral:rRNA from 1 species
GAUGAACGCUAGCGGCAGGCUUAAUACAUGCAAGUCGAGGGGCAGCACAGGUAGCAAUACUGGGUGGCGACCGGCAAACGGGUGCGGAACACGUACACAACUUACCUUCUGGUGGGGGAUAGCCUUUGGAAACGGAGAUUAAUACCCCAUAUUAUAUAUGAGCUGCAUGGUUUGUAUACUAAAGAUUUAUUGCCGGAAGAUGGGUGUGCGUAUGAUUAGGUAGUUGGCGGGGUAACGGCCCACCAAGCCGACGAUCAUUAACUGGUGUGAGAGCACGACCAGUCACACGGGCACUGAGACAUGGGCCCGACUCCUACGGGAGGCAGCAGUAAGGAAUAUUGGUCAAUGGACGGAAGUCUGAACCAGCCAUGCCGCGUGGAGGAUGAAGGUCCUCUGGAUUGUAAACUUCUUUUAUAGGGGGCGAAAAAAGGGAAUUCUUUCUCGUCUGACGGUACCCUAUGAAUAAGCACCGGCUAACUCCGUGCCAGCCGCCGCAGUAAAAC